UCUACCCCCGACCCCCAAAGCCCUUUUGUUUCCAAGAUGGUCUCCGAGUUCUGUUUUAAUACGCACGGAACAAAGCCAAUUGAACACCCUUAAGCUUAGCGGAAAGCGAGAAUUGUACGACUGGCCUUAAGAGUGUCUGUUGUCAAUUUUUAUUUACAAUUAGAACUUUACAAAAGUCCUCUCUGUUGAGGUUGUCUGGAUGGGAGAAAAAUCGGGGAUCGCCUCAGGGUAGGGAAACUAAGGCACCAGGAGGUCGAGUAGUUGCCGGAAGCAUCGCAGCUAGUAAAUGAGGGAAACGGAGUCCAGCCCAGGCAGUCUAAGGAGAGCCUGCGCCAGGCUGCCGCUGUGCCACAUGCUGCCUCCGAAAACACAGCAGGGAGUCCAUGAUGUCUUCUAAUUGCAGCACUUUUGGGGGACGAGCGUAGCCAGGCUGGAUCACUGACGGAAGAACCAAGCGGCACUCCUGGAGCAGAGAUCUUGGAGGAUCGGAGAUUUAUUUACAUUGAUGGGCUCAGGGGAGACCGUUUCUCCAAAGAUCUGAGCCCCGAGCAAUUGAUAAUCUUACAGCUUCCGCAUUUGUGCCCAUGGCUGAGAGAGACAAACAAGCCAAGGAAGAGGGGGAGGGAGGACUGGCCUUCGGACAAAUGGAGAAGGGCUAACCUAAGAAUCUCGAGUGUGCCUGCCACAUUCCUUUUUCUUUUUAGGUCAGGGUUUUGUUUUUCCCCCCACAUCAUUCGCCCACUUUGAUGCCUUUAAAAAUCUUCCUUUUA